rnacentral:rRNA from 1 species
CCUACGGGAGGCAGCAGUGAGGAAUCUUGGUCAUUGGACGAGAGUCUGAACCAGCCACGUAGCGUGAAGGAUGACUGCCCUCUGGGUUGUAAACUUCUUUUAUAUGGGAAUAAAAUGUUCCAAGUGUGGGAUUUUGUAUGUACAAUAUGAAUAAGGAUCGGCUAACUCCGUGCCAGCAGCCGAGGUAAUACAGAGGAUCCGUGCGUUAUCCGGAUUUAUUGGGUGUAACGGGAGCGUAGGUGGAUUGUUAAGUCAGUUGUGAAAGUUUGCGGCUCAACCGGAAAAGUGCAGUUGAAACUGGCAGUCUUGAGUACAGUAGAGGUGGGCGGAAUUCGUGGUGUAGCGGUGAAAUGCUUAGAUAUCACGAAGAACUCCGAUUGCGAAGGCAGCUCACUGGACUGCAACUGACACUGAGGCUCGAAAGUGUGGGUAUCAAACAGGAUUAGAUACCCUAGUAGUC